rnacentral:rRNA from 1 species
UACGGGAGGCAGCAGUGGGGAAUAUUGCACAAUGGGCGCAAGCCUGAUGCAGCCAUGCCGCGUGUAUGAAGAAGGUCUUCGGGUUGUAAAGUACUUUCAGUCGUGAGGAAGGUGUUAAGGUUAAUAACCUUAGCAAUUGACGUUAGCGACAGAAGAAGCACCGGCUAACUCCGUGCCAGCAGCCGCGGUAAUACGGAGGGUGCGAGCGUUAAUCGGAAUUACUGGGCGUAAAGGGCACGCAGGCGGUUAAUUAAGUUGGAUGUGAAAUCCCCGGGCUUAACCUGGGAAUGGCAUUCAAGACUGGUUAGCUAGAGUCUUGUAGAGGGGGUAGAAUUCCAUGUGUAGCGGUGAAAUGCGUAGAGAUGUGGAGGAAUACCGGUGGCGAAGGCGGCCCCUGGGACAAAGACUGACGCUCAUGUGCGAAAGCGUGGGGAGCAAACAGGAUUAGAUACC